rnacentral:rRNA from 1 species
GAUGAACGCUGGCGGCGUGCCUAAUACAUGCAAGUCGAGCGGACGGACGCGACUCUUGCUUCUCUGAUGUUUGCGGCGGACGGGUGAGUAACACGUGGAUCACCUACCUAUAAUACUGGUAUAACUUCGGGAAACCGGAUCUAAUACCGGAUAAUAUUUUGCACCGCAUGGUUCAAAAGUGAAAGACGGUCUUGCUGUCACUUAUAGAUGGAUCCGCGCUGCACUAGCUAGUUGGUAAGGUAACGGCUUAUCAAGGCAACGAUGCAUAGCCGACCUGAGAGAGGGAUCGGCCACACUGGAACUGGAACACGGUCCAGACUCCUACGGGAGGCAGCAGUAGGGAAUCUUCCGCAAUGGGCGAAAGCCUGACGGAGCAACGCCGCGUGAGUGAUGAAGGUCUUCGGAUCGUAAAACUCUGUUAUUAGGGAAGAACAUAUGUGUAAGUAACUGUGCACAUCUUGACGGUACCUAAUCAGAAAGCAACGGCUAACUACGUG